UGCAGAGUGGAGCAGUAGUAGCUCGUCUGGCUCAUAACCAGAAGGUCGACGUGUGCAAUUCCGUCCUCUGCAUCCA
rnacentral:tRNA from 1 species